UAGGGAAUCUUCGGCAAUGGACGGAAGUCUGACCGAGCAACGCCGCGUGAGUGAAGAAGGUUUUCGGAUCGUAAAGCUCUGUUGUAAGAGAAGAACGAGUGUGAGAGUGGAAAGUUCACACUGUGACGGUAUCUUACCAGAAAGGGACGGCUAACUACGUGCCAGCAGCCGCGGUAAUACGUAGGUCCCGAGCGUUGUCCGGAUUUAUUGGGCGUAAAGCGAGCGCAGGCGGUUAGAUAAGUCUGAAGUUAAAGGCUGUGGCUUAACCAUAGUACGCUUUGGAAACUGUUUAACUUGAGUGCAAGAGGGGAGAGUGGAAUUCCAUGUGUAGCGGUGAAAUGCGUAGAUAUAUGGAGGAACACCGGUGGCGAAAGCGGCUCUCUGGCUUGUAACUGACGCUGAGGCUCAAAAGCGUGGGGAGCAAACAGGAUUAGAUACCCUGGUAGUCCACGCCGUAAACGAUGAGUGCUAGGUGUUAGACCCUUUCCGGGGUUUAGUGCCGCAGCUAACGCAUUAAGCACUCCGCCUGGGGAGUACGGCCGCAAGGUUG
rnacentral:rRNA from 1 species